rnacentral:rRNA from 1 species
UACGAAGGGGGCUAGCGUUGUUCGGAUUUACUGGGCGUAAAGCGCACGUAGGCGGAUUGGUCAGUUAGGGGUGAAAUCCCAGAGCUCAACUCUGGAACUGCCUUUAAUACUGCCAAUCUAGAGUCCGGAAGAGGUGAGUGGAACUCCUAGUGUAGAGGUGGAAUUCGUAGAUAUUAGGAAGAACACCAGGUGGCGAAGGCGGCUCACUGGUCCGGUACUGACGCUGAGGUGCGAAAGCGUGGGGAGCAAACAGG